rnacentral:rRNA from 1 species
AUACGUAGGGGGCGAGCGUUGUCCGGAUUUACUGGGUGUAAAGGGAGCGUAGACGGAAGGCCAAGUCUGAUGUGAAAGCCCGCGGCUCAACUGCGGGACUGCAUUGGAAACUGGUCAUCUGGAGUGCAGGAGGGGUAAGCGGAAUUCCUAGUGUAGCGGUGAAAUGCGUAGAUAUAUGGAGGAACACCAGUGGCGAAGGCGGCUCUCUGGUCUGUAACUGACGCUGAGGCUCGAAAGCGUGGGGAGUAAACAGGAUUAGAUACCCUGGUAGUCCACGCCGUAAACGAUGGGCGCUCGUCGUCGGCGACAGACAGUCGGCGGCCAAGCGAAAGCGAUAAGCGCCCCACCUGGGGAGUACGGUCGCAAGGCUGAAACUCAAAUGAAUUGG